rnacentral:rRNA from 1 species
GAUGAACGCUGGCGGCGUGCCUAAUACAUGCAAGUCGAGCGAACAGACGAGGAGCUUGCUCCUCUGACGUUAGCGGCGGAUGGGUGAGUAACACGUAGAUAACCUACCUAUAAGACUGGGAUAACUUCGGGAAACCGGAGCUAAUACCGGAUAAUAUAUUGAACCGCAUGGUUCAAUAGUGAAAGACGGUUUUGCUGUCACUUAUAGAUGGAUCCGCGCCGCAUUAGCUAGUUGGUAAGGUAACGGCUUACCAAGGCAACGAUGCGUAGCCGACCUGAGAGGGUGAUCGGCCACACUGGAACUGAGACACGGUCCAGACUCCUACGGGAGGCAGCAGUAGGGAAUCUUCCGCAAUGGGCGAAAGCCUGACGGAGCAACGCCGCGUGAGUGAUGAAGGUCUUCGGAUCGUAAAACUCUGUUAUUAGGGAAGAACAAAUGUGUAAGUAACUAUGCACGUCUUGACGGUACCUAAUCAGAAAGCCACGGCUAACUACGUG